rnacentral:lncRNA from 1 species
CGGCAAGGGGCUCCUGGCCAGGGAGGUGGUGGUGGCCUGAGCCACGAGGACACCCUGGCGCUGCUGGAGGGGCUAGUGAGCCGCCGUGAAGCUGCCCUGAAGGAGGAUUUCCGCAGGGAAACUGCUGCUCGCAUCCAGGAAGAACUGUCUGCCCUGAGAGCAGAGCAUCAGCAAGACUCAGAAGACCUCUUCAAGAAGAUCGUCCGGGCCUCCCAGGAGUCCGAGGCUCGCAUCCAGCAGCUGAAGUCAGAGUGGCAAAGGUACUGGGCGCCACCAGCUGGCCUCGGCCUGCUCCUCCCCAGCCCCACCCACUCUCCAGGCAGGACUGGGGAGCAGAGCCGCAGAGCAGAGAGUUCUGAUCAUCUUGCCAAGCAGAUGCAUGACCCAGGAGUCCUUCCAGGAGAGCUCUGUGAAGGAGCUGAGGCGGCUGGAGGACCAGCUGGCCGGCCUGCAGCAGGAGCUGGCGGCUCUGGCACUGAAGCAGAGCUCGGUGGCGGAAGAAGUGGGCCUGCUGCCCCAGCAGAUCCAGGCCGUGCGGGACGACGUGGAAUCUCAGUUCCCGGCCUGGAUCAGUCAGUUCCUUGCCCGAGGUGGAGGGGGCCGCGUGGGGCUCCUUCAGAGAGAGGAGAUGCAAGCUCAGCUGCGAGAGCUGGAGAGCAAGAUCCUCACCCAUGUGGCAGAGAUGCAGGGCAAGUCGGCCAGGGAAGCCGCGGCCUCCCUGAGCCUGACGCUGCAGAAAGAAGGUGUGAUUGGAGUGACAGAGGAGCAGGUGCACCACAUCGUGAAGCAGGCCCUGCAGCGCUACAGUGAGGACCGCAUCGGGCUGGCAGACUACGCCCUGGAGUCAGGAGGGGCCAGCGUCAUCAGCACCCGAUGUUCUGAGACCUACGAGACCAAGACGGCCCUCCUCAGCC